UAUGAAUUUUGGGUGGUGUAGCUUACAUUUGGGUAAGCUAUAUAGUCCAGAAUUUACGGUAUUUUAUGUAAAUGCAGCUCACAUUGCCACAGCACUUUGGCUGCUAUGGCCAAGAGAAAGCCUUUCAAUCAACCAGAAAUAAUUUACUGUGAAGAGGAAAUAUAGCACUGAUACAGGUCAAGUUAUCUUUAUUUAUUUAGCAUCUGUUACAACUGAGUGAUGCUGAACUAAUAGUUUUUUCAGAUGAGUGCAUUUUUACAACUGUAGAGAAACAUUGCUGCAGAAUUACAAACAAACAUGAAAAAUAACAAUCCUACACUGCCUAAACAUGGUACUUGACUUAUAUAUACAGACAGAGUUUUAGGAUGCAAUUCAGACAGGACCCGUAAGCAGACAAACAACAGCUUACAGUGUUAACACAAGACUUUAAUUAACUCAGAUAACUGCACCACAUCGUGAAUCAUUCCUCUGAAUAAGGGGCUUAUUGUGGCCUAGGAAGAGAUGUGAGAAAAAUGGGGAAAGUUAAAUGAAAGGGACGGAAUACGAGAAGAUUCCAUUGACCCACGUUUACCACAAAGCCAACAAAACAAUCAGAUGCUGGUGAUUGGGAGAAGCUUUUGAAGAGUAUUGAUUGGUAACCUGCUGCAGGUGUGACGGUCACCAGCGAAUGGUACCCAGGUGAAUCCACCAUGCCCAAACCAGGAAAACAAAACACAAAGAAAAGGUACCAACAUACAGGCCAUGACACUGAGCUCUCCAAGAAGAUGUGCUUUUCAGCAAUGCAAUGAAUGAGCUGGGAUUGAACUUCAAUGUCAAAACAGUGCAACAGGAGGGCAUCAGAAAUGGUCAGAUGCUCUCCAACAUGUCUUGGAAAGGGAGGACGCCAGGGACUGAGAUGACAGCUUCCACCACAUUAAGAAAAGAAUGGCUCUGCAGUUCAAGAACAAAGCAUCCUGCUUUUAUCCUUUAUAACAUCAGUGGCUCAUAUUCCUGCUCAUUUCAGUUAAUAUUUUACCAACAAUGAGGGAGCACAAGAACCCUGCACGGAUUCAUAAAUAUGAGCAAAUAUUCUGAAUCCUUUAAAUACUGUCAGCCCUCAAUUUUACCUUUGUUUCCUCUCCUAUUUACAUUACAUAGGAUUGAAUCAGAUGCUCUGGCCAUUGUUCAAAUCCACAGCCACAAUUAAGGUGAUGACAUUUCUUUUCUAACCCUGACCAGCAGCUUUGUCUGGUUGCAGCUGCGUGAGCUGGCGUUUCUCUGUGGGAUCAGGUUUUGGCAGUAUCAUCGCUGUCUGUCUGCUUCAUGUCCUCACCCCCACUUGUCGGCUAUGCAGAAAAGCUAGGGGCCAUUGUAGUGUAAUUUUAAUUGUGUAAAGGAAUGAUUACUGUAUUUAUUUUAAUUAUAUGCAUGGUUACUAUAUGUAUAUUGACAAACAUUUAAUCUACAGAGAGAGAACCGAGUGACUUCAGUUCUUGAACCCACAACGAAAGGUCUGACCCAUUAGAAAGUUUUAAAUGGAUUAUGUUUAUAUUCAUGGUUGGGGUUAAAGGUAUGGACCAAAACAUAUAGACACCAUCUCACCAGCGUGAGUAUUGCGUCACUUCCUGUCUCUUCUAUCGUUCGUUGGUUGCAUUGUGCACGGGGUGCCGUAUUCACUUAAUAUUGAACACUUGGUGUGUUGUACUCACUUAAUAUUGAACACUUGGUGUGUUGUAUUCACUUUACUUAAAAUUUUGAACACUUGAGACUUUCUAGUCACCUGAUAUCAACAGUAAGAACCCAUAUUAAACAAAUACAGGGCUU
ensembl:lncRNA